rnacentral:rRNA from 1 species
UACGUAGGGGGCAAGCGUUGUCCGGAUUUAUUGGGCGUAAAGCGCUCGCAGGUGGUUCGUCGCGUCGUGCGUGAAAGACCCCGGCUCAACUGGGGGGUGUCGUGCGAUACGGGCGGACUGGAGGCCAGUAGGGGGAUGCGGAAUUCCGGGUGUAGUGGUGGAAUGCGUAGAGAUCCGGAGGAACACCAGCGGCGAAGGCGGCAUCCUGGACUGGUCCUGACACUCAUGAGCGAAAGCGUGGGGAGCGAGCCGG